rnacentral:lncRNA from 1 species
UCUUUGAACGCGGAUUGCGGCCGGAGAUAUUCAAGACUGUUCAGGCGCUCCGGUUGAAGACCUAUGAAGAGGUGCUCGAUCGUGCGCCAUGGAUAGAGCGCGGCAACGCCAUCGUGCGUGAGGAACGCGAGGUGUUUGAAAGGGACAAGGACAGGGAGAAAUCUAAGAAGCGACCGGCUGGUGGUUCCGCGGGGCAGUCGAGUUCCAAACGACCCCCUCGGCACCCUAGAUCGCAAUGGCGGCGAGAUAAAAGCCAGACAAGGAGUCAGACGAGUUCCUUCCCGUGCGUAAUCUGCGGUGGGAUCAUAGGCCGAGUGAAUGUUCUCAGCGUGACGGGAGGUGUUUCCGAUGCGGCCAAGCGGGACACAUGAGAUGGGCUGCCCGGGCGGCGCG